CGGCCUUGACAUCCACGGGAAUUUGGGCAGAGAUGCCUUAGUGCCUUCGGGAACCGUGAGACAGGUGCUGCAUGGCUGUCGUCAGCUCGUGUUGUGAAAUGUUGGGUUAAGUCCCGNAACGAGCGCAACCCUUAUCCUUUGUUGCCAGCGAUUCGGUCGGGAACUCAAAGGAGACUGCCGGUGAUAAACCGGAGGAAGGUGGGGAUGACGUCAAGUCAUCAUGGCCCUUACGGCCAGGGCUACACACGUGCUACAAUGGCGCAUACAAAGAGAAGCGACCUCGCGAGAGCAAGCGGACCUCAUAAAGUGCGUCGUAGUCCGGAUUGGAGUCUGCAACUCGACUCCAUGAAGUCGGAAUCGCUAGUAAUCGUAGAUCAGAAUGCUACGGUGAAUACGUUCCCGGGCCUUGUACACACCGCCCGUCACACCAUGGGAGUGGGUUGCAAAAGAAGUAGGUAGCUUAACCUUCGGGAGGGCGCUUACCACUUUGUGAUUCAUGACUGGGGUGAAGUCGUAACAAGGUAGGCGUACUACA
rnacentral:rRNA from 1 species